AGAGGCGUGGCUUAGCAGUGGAGUACUUACCUAGCAAGCAUAAGGCCCUGAGUUCAAAUCUCAGCACAGCUU
rnacentral:tRNA from 1 species